CCCCAAAUUUGGGGAGCUAGUCCAGAACCGUCCAGCCAACAUCCUAGAUUUUUUUGGGAUUUUUUGGGGCCCCCGGGACCCCUCUAGAUGGGGUGAGGAAUGUAGUGUUGGGGGAAUCUGACUGGGGCAUUGCAGCUGCCUCUCCCGCCGAGUUGGAGACGGAUGGGCUGGGACGGGUUUGGGGGGGGUGUCCCCAAUUCUGACUGGGAGUGGAGGAGCCCCCUCAUGUGCUCUCUUGUGGGGGUCCCCCCUCCCUAGGGCACUCCCCACUCCCUGAGCCAGCCGAGAGGAAGGAGGCCAGCGAUGCGACUGGGGCGGCUCCUUUCUCCUGCACCCCAAAUGUGAGGGAUGCACCCCAAAUUUUGUUCCCUUCAAAAUAGGGGACCAGGAUCUCAGGGGAGAGUAGCUGAGGGUCCUCGUUUUCCUGAAGCCUUGCAGCCACUUAGGGCAAAUGGAGCCUGAAGAGUGGAGUCCAACUGAGAGUGCGAAAGGCCCGUCUUCUAAUUCUCUUCUGGGAGAGAUGUAUGAAUGUGGAAGGCUACCAGUUCUCCAGGGACUUUGUUGCUAACAAAACUAGCAACAAAGUAGGAAAGAUGUUGAGCUGGAAGGGAGUUUGAGGAAGAUGGAACAAUGGGUAUGGAGGAAGAAAGCUGCCCACCCGCCCCUUCUCUGCCAGCCAACCCUCCCUCACACUGUCCGUUCCUUGAUGACACAGCUGAUGUGAUUAAGAUCGUCCCCAAAUCGCUUCACAGCAGCCCUCAGCAUCUCUAUCUCCGUCUCCGUCCACUUGGCACUGUCAGAAGGGGAGAAGGGAAUAGCGAAAGUGGGAGGAAGAGGGGUGUGGAGCCAGCCCACAGGCUACGCAUUCCACAGCAACCAGCCUCCUCCCCGCGAUGCCUGGGGCCCCUUGCAUAAAGAGGUCCUCCUUAAAAAAACAAAAACAAAAGCAAAAAAAAAAAAUUCUUAAGGCGCCGUGGGAACCCUGCGGACCUCCAACCACACGAUAUUGUAACAACCGCCACCUUAGAAGAAAACUUCUCCCCCAUCAACGUGAAACAGCUGCUUAUGUAAACAGCCCACUGAAACCCAUCCAACAAGUGGGGGUCUUACAGACAGAGCCUCUAAACACAGUCUGCUGCAGUCUGACAGAAUUCCACAUGAUUUGGGGGGUGGGGUGGUGUGGGUAGUGGUGGCGGUCUAUGGUCUACCAGUUCGCAGCAGGGUAGAGCUGUGAAAUGAGUCCGGAUUAUGAGCCUCGGUCUGUGGUUUAUCUGUCAUUCAUUCAUUCAACAAUCAUUUAUUAACACCUACUCUGCGCUGUGCCAGGCACAAAGGGAAACUAACAUCUGUCCCUGCCCUAGAGAGUGUCGGUGUCUGUGAUCGAGACCCAGCGUCCGCUCUCAGCGUCCAUCUCCCAGCCCGGGCUCACGUACCCCGCGGGGGAAGAGUCGGCCACGGGAUGCAGCUGCAUGGUCAGCUCCCCGAGCUUCGUGAAGGCGGCGCCCGCCGCGGAGAAGAUCUCUCCGACCUGGGGGGCGGGGCAGCAUUACGGGGGGCCGGCGCACAGUGCCGCGCCGGACCGCCCGGAGCCCCUAGCCCCACCCCAGGCUGGACUCCCGCCCGCCCCUCGCCCGGGAUGGAAGAGCCGGGAGCCAACUUGGGGGCCCCGCCCUCCCGUGGCCGCCAGGGAGCGCUGUCCGCGAGGGAGGUCGAACCUUUGUAGACGCUGACGUCAUGGCCCCGCGCGCCUCCUCACGGAGACGUUGCCGCCGCCGCUACCUCGGAGCCGGGACCACGGAGAGCAGGGCGAUCGAACGGCUCCUGCCCCCGCGCAGGAAGUCCCGCCCCUUCCCGCAGCUGAUUGGCUCCAGCUCGGCCGCUCACCGCCUCACCGCCUCGGCGCGCGGGAAGGAGAGUGGAAGACACCGCCUCGCUUCCGGCCCGGCUUCACUCCACUUCCGUCGAGGGGUCGGGACUCCCUAUUUGGAGUCCGAUCUCCAGCCCGGAUGCCUGCCCCUCAACCCAUGCACACACACGAGGCUUAAGAGAGCAGUUUCUCUUUAUUGUGUAACGAGACAAG